rnacentral:rRNA from 1 species
GUGUCAGCCGCCGCGGUAAGACGAACCGAGCGAACGUUAUUCGGAAUCACUGGGCUUAAAGGGCGCGUAGGCGGGCGAUCAAGUCAGGGGUGAAAGCCCCCAGCUCAACUGGGGAAGUGCCUUUGAUACUGGUCGUCUCGAGGGAGGUAGGGGCGUGCGGAACUUCCGGUGGAGCGGUGAAAUGCGUAGAUAUCGGAAGGAACAUCGGUGGCGAAAGCGGCGCGCUGGACCUCUUCUGACGCUGAGGCGCGAAAGCCAGGGGAGCGAACGGGAUUAGAAACCCCGGUAGUCC